UAAGUGGGAUAACCAUUGGAAACAAUGGCUAAUACCGGAUAUAGUUAUUUAUCGCAUGAUAAGUAAUAGAAAGGAGCUUCACGGCUUCACUUAAAAAUGGGGGUGCGCAACAUUAGUUAGUUGGUAGGGUAAUGGCCUACCAAGACGAUGAUGUUUAGCCGGGCCGAGAGGCUGUACGGCCACACUGGGACUGAGAUACGGCCCAGACUCCUACGGGAGGCAGCAGUAAGGAAUUUUCCACAAUGAGCGAAAGCUUGAUGGAGCGACACAGCGUGCAGGAUGAAGUUCUUCGGAAUGUAAACUGCUGUUAUAAGGGAAGAAAAAAUAGAAUAGGAAAUGAUUUUAUCUUGACGGUACCUUAUUAGAAAGCGACGGCAAACUAUG
rnacentral:rRNA from 1 species